rnacentral:rRNA from 1 species
GACAGAGGUGCCGAGCGUUAGGCGGAAUCACUGGGCUUAAAGCGUGUGUAGGCGGACCGUUAAGUACCUUGUGAAAUCCCCCGGCUCAACCGGGGAAGUGGCGUGGAUACGACCGGGCUGGAGGGGGGUAGGGGGAGCCGGAACUUCCGGUGGAGCGGUGAAAUGCGUUGAGAUCGGAAGGAACGCCCGUGGCGAAAGCGGGCUCCUGGACCCCACCUGACGCUGAGACGCGAAAGCCAGGGGAGCGAACGGG